rnacentral:lncRNA from 1 species
UGAUAUUUGCCAAGUGCCAGGCAUGGUGUUUGGUUCUGAGAAGGCAAAGGUCAUAAAGUAAAAUCUUGUAGGAAUUCACGCAAGGUGUGGGGGUGCUGACAAGGGAACCCCAUCCUAGUGAGAUGAGCUCAGAGCUUUCAGAUCUGGGGGACUAUGGCUCUGUGCGGAGCCGACCUCACCAAGGAGACAGGGACGUGCUGGGGCUCGAAGCAGCGGAACAACUGCCAAAGAGUUUGAGGUUAGAUCCUGAUAUCAUCUUGACAAUACCAAGAAAUACAAAAGGAAGACUCUCAGCACUCCAAAAGGCUAAUUCCCCAGAGAUAAGCUGCUUCUCCAAACUCCCUCAUGCCAAGAGUGGAAUAAACCGCCACCCCCUCCUCUCUUCUGCUCAGAGGAAUGGAUGGAAAUGUAGAUGUUGCCCCAGGAGGUCAGAGUCAAGCCAGAGGAAAGAAGCCCAAAAGGACCAGGAAGGAUGAAACAAGCAUGGAGUCAUCACUGUUUAAUCGUAUCCCCUCUGCCCUCUCUUCCUUACCAUGAAAGGACCUUCCACAGCUGGACAUGAUGAGACAGUGGUGCAUGGCAAUGUGAGGCCCUCCAUCUCCUUGGAGCCAGCUUUGAGUAAAGCCCUUUUCCUUUUCACCAGGGCUCCUGGGUUUUUUUCUGUUGUUUUUGGUUUUGGUUUUCUUUGGGGUGGGGGUAGGCGUGAGCUGAAGGCAGCACUUCCCUAACUUCCCACCCCCACCGCUAAUGUCCUUUCUCGUGAACCCAGUCCUUGUGGGCCCUGACCUCAGGAGAGCUGUUUAAGGAGGCUGGAGUUAAGGAAGAACCAGGGGAAACAUAACAGAAGCCAUGGAUUGCUUCGCCAAGUGACAAAAGCCUGUAGUCCCAGCUACCUAGGAAGCUGAGGCAGGAGGAUUGUUUAAAUCCAGGAGAUCAAGGCCAGCCUGGGCAAAAUAGCAAGAUUUUGUUGCUUAAGGAAGAAGGAGGAGGAGGGGAAAGGGGAAGGGGUGGGGAAGGGGAGGGGGAGGGGAAGCGACUGCUGUGGACUAGAAUGUAAGGGAAAAACCAAAGCCUACCUACAAAACUGGGAGCUCCUACUAAAAGGAAGAUGCAGUAUGUCUGGCCAAACAGCACUCCUCAGUUAGCAGCAUUCAAAGUAAAAAGACUCACUUCCUCAUAAUCUAAUUCUUCAGAAGUGCUUUUACUAGGUACAGGAAAGAUAUAUAUAUAUAGAAGACCUUAAAAAAUAUUAAAUGAUAACUGUAUAAAUGAUAGAUGGCACAGACUUGCUGCUGAGGACUUUAGUUACAUAAUUUGCAUUUUAUUUACACAUCCCCUGACAUUGGUUUCAUCGUGGGAAGCUCAGGAGCUGGCUCCCUUAGAAUCACCACGCCGAUCAUGGGACAGCCCAGGGCCAAACGGGGUGACUUUCAGCGUCAGGUUUCCUCCACUUUAAGGGGGCAUCUUCCUAUGUUUAUUGUUUGGAGAGCACAUGGGCCACUGGGCAGCACGUCUUGUGCCCUAAUUCACAGAAACUUGGCUUCUGCCACAAGCUGAGGCAGCCCCAGUGGAGGUUUCAAAUGUGUCAUGAGGUUUCCCAGCCAAAUUCCUCCUGUACCAGCUUGAAAACUAGCUAUAAAAAUAGCACUUACUGCGGGAGUCUGACCUGCGACGAAGAUUUCCUAACUGGGAGCAGGGACAAGAAGGCCGCUAAGUUUUUAUCUUCUUAAAAAAAAAAACCUACUUUCAUGUCUCUAUGAUAAGAAUUUGCUUCUAAGAUUGUGUUUUUACAAAGCUUCUAUAUGUGUGGGGGGGAUUGAAGGGGAAUGGGGUUAAAUAAAAUAAGAUUUAUUUAAAAUUUUUUUUUAAAGGUUGUGUUUUUAAAAUCAACUUUGGACUGGAGUCUCCCGUUUGAAAGUGAAUUUCCACAAUUUUUGGUGCCUAAAUGGAUACCAGAUAUAGCCAAAUAUGGGGUUUAAAGAAAACAAAAGGGAGGGCCUUAUCUUUUAUUUACUCAGGGAACAAAUCUGAGUGUCUAACUAGGAAAUUUGGACGUUCUCUAGGAAAAUUCUGAUGGCUAAAGGCUCUGGGAUUGUUCUGUGUUCAAUUCUGACUCCAGGGUCUUUCAGGAGUUAGGAAAGGAUCAAGUAGCUCAUAGUUCUGUUUUUGUUUUUGAUUUUGUUUUAACACAGGGUCUUGCUAUGUUCUCCAGGCUGGCUUUGAACUUGAGCUUCUGUCUCAGUCUUCCAAGUUGCUUGGAUUUGCAUACACGUGACGCUACAUCUGAC